ACUCGCCUCCAAUGAAUGAUCAACAAAGACUCGAUGGUGCUGGUUCGUGGAGGAGAAGUCCGGUCCAGGGGUGUUUUCCCUGUCUUGGACCGGUGAGGCACUCUGGUCCCCUAAAUAUGAGACGUUCUUGGAGCUGAUGCAACCCAUUUUUAGAGAUUAAUUGUUCAACCCCUCAUGAGGCCAAAAAAGAUGAAAUGGGAUUGCAGACAGAAGAACAAAGAACAAAGAUUAAAAAAGGUGGGAAAGAGAAAAGAAAAAAAAUCACAUGACAAAAUUAUUAAAAGGAAAAGGAAACUUUUUUUUUUG
rnacentral:lncRNA from 1 species